GCCGGGAUGAACCACGGUGGUCCGGGGUGCAGGCUUCAAACUUGUAGCCGGUUGGUGUUGAAGCGGUUCGAUUCCGCCUUCCUGGC
rfam:Schistosoma haematobium scaffold163_108, whole genome shotgun sequence.